AGAGUUUGAUCCUGGCUCAGAUUGAACGCUGGCGGCAUGCCUUACACAUGCAAGUCGAACGGCAGCACGGGAGCUUGCUCCUGGUGGCGAGUGGCGAACGGGUGAGUAAUACAUCGGAACGUACCCUGAAGUGGGGGAUAACGUAGCGAAAGUUACGCUAAUACCGCAUAUUCUGUGAGCAGGAAAGAGGGGGAUCGCAAGACCUCUUGCUUUAGGAGCGGCCGAUGUCGGAUUAGCUAGUUGGUGAGGUAAAGGCUCACCAAGGCGACGAUCCGUAGCGGGUCUGAGAGGAUGAUCCGCCACACUGGGACUGAGACACGGCCCAGACUCCUACGGGAGGCAGCAGUGGGGAAUUUUGGACAAUAGGCGCAAGCCUGAUCCAGCCAUGCCGCGUGAGUGAAGAAGGCCUUCGGGUUGUAAAGCUCUUUCGGUGGGGAAGAAAUUGCUUCGGUUAAUACCUGGAGUAGAUGACGGUACCCGCAUAAGAAGCACCGGCUAACUACGUG
rnacentral:rRNA from 1 species